rnacentral:rRNA from 1 species
GACGAACGCUGGCGGCGUGCUUAACACAUGCAAGUCGAACGGAAAGGCCCUGCUUUUGUGGGGUGCUCGAGUGGCGAACGGGUGAGUAACACGUGAGUAACCUGCCCUUGACUUUGGGAUAACUUCAGGAAACUGGGGCUAAUAUCGGAUAGGAGAUCCUGCUGCAUGGUGGGGGUUGGAAAGUUUCGGCGGUUGGGGAUGGACUCGCGGGUUACCAGCUUGUUGGUGGGGUAGGGGCUUACCCAGGCUUUGACGGGUAGCCGGCCUGUGAGGGGGGCCGGCGACCAGGGUCCUGAGGUACGGCCCAGACGCCUAUGGGGGGCAGCAGGGGGGAGUAUUGCACAAUGGGCGGGAGCCUGAUGCGGAGACGCCGGGUGCGGGAAGACGUCCUUCGGGUUGUGAACCGCUUUCGCCUGUGACGAAGCGGGAGUGACGGUAAUGGGUAAAGAAGCACCGGCUAACUACGUG